AUGCUCACUUCAGCAGCACAUAUAACUAAAAUUGGGAGGAUACAGAGAUUAGCAUGGCCCCUUGCAAGGAUGACAUGCGAAUUCAUGAAGCGUUCCAUAUUUAG
ensembl:snRNA U6 U6 spliceosomal RNA